CCCAGGGAGCCCAGUUCACUGAGGACUUUCAGCAGUAUUCAGACAACUCUGAGACAGAUCUGAGGGUCAUAAACCAUUAUUUACUCUAUGGGCCACACAGGAAGAAUUACUUCUGUUUACAUCAUCUCAAGGAGUGGCACUGACAUAAAUCAGGUGCCAUUAUUGUUCUGACUGAUUUCAUGACGUGAUUUGUGGAGCUUAAGAUGGCUUUUUCUUCCAAGGUUUCAUCCUCAUCAAAAUGUGCAUCUCCACCAAAGUCCUUGCCAGGUGCGUAGGCAUGAGCAACAGACCCUCCUGGGCCGUCAAAGGGGAUGAAAUCGUUGUGACCUGAGGAGUGAGUCCCACAGACAGCUGACUGGAGGCUACAGCAAGUGAGCACAUUGUGGAGAGCAUUCUGAAGAGAAGAAUGCAAGGUCUUCAGAUGGAAUGCAGACAGACCCUGGACAAGGUGGAAGCAAGAGGGCAGCUGAUGGGGCUCAGCAGGGGGAGCCUGCUCACAAAGGGCUGAAUUCCUGCCCUGACAUCAGACACCUAACUGAAACACUGACAGCAGGGGCAGUGACCUCCCCCUCAGUCCUGGAAGGAGAUGGACAAACUCAGGGAAUUACGCUGAACUGAGACAACUGAGCUGCUUUCAGGAAGAGAACCACAAGGGAGCUCAUACAGGCAGCUUUCAAUUACUCUGCUCAUACUCUGCUAGGUGUGUCACACUGGGUGGGUGAGAUGAACCUAUAAAUUGAGUGUGAUGUUCUCCUAUGCAGCUUACACACCCACGAUAUCACUUGUAGAAAUAGCUUCUAGUACUUGCAAACUAACACACUGAAGCCUUACAACUUUUUUCACUUCCCACGAGACGCAACUACUCGCCAAGUGUUCAGUGUGUCUCUAUGUGUACAGUGUCUCCAUGGUUCUAGUGCACAGAAGUAACUUUCUGACCUGUAGAACUUGGUACAAGUAUUCCAAAUAUUCCUCACUAUUCUUUCUGUCUAAUGGGAGGGCCACUGGAGGAGGCUGAGAUGAUCUAGAGGGGUAUUGUUGAAAUUUAUGCAAUCUUCUGAUUGGCAUCCUUCUCAAGUACAUCCUUUUCUACUCUGACAACACUUUCUCACUGUUCACCAUUGCCCACAAGAGAUCAGUCACCAAAUCAAACAUCUUUCAAUCAUCCAGAAUAGGUCUUAUGAAGAAAAUUCCACACCAAUCCCCUCUGAAUUUGUAUUUUGAAGACUUCAUCCAGAAGUAGUACAACAUAUGUAAUGUUAUAUAAUAGUAUAUGAAAAUCUCAUGCUCUGUCUUAAAUAAGUGAGUGUGAAAGUUAUGUUCUCUUCCUUUCAGCCCCUCAAAAAGGACAGUCUCUCAAAAUUGGCCCUUUUUUCUCUCUUUCAGAGUCAGUCUUCUGCCUAUGAUGGUUCUGAGCAGCCUGUGCUGCUGAUGAGCAGUGCUUACCACUUGCCUAGCUCUGCUGCAAACCCUAUGCUGUCUCAAAAAUAGCAUAUUACUGAUACAGAUUAGUGUGGGACCAACUUCUGCUUUUUUAUAUAUUACAGUCACCUGUUUUGAUCACACUAAUGCUGAUUCACCAGCAGGACUCCUCUUGUCCUGGUCAGCUUUCACACAGAUCACCCUUUCCUGUCCGGUGCUGAGUCAGGGCCUCCUUACAGCUUAAUUCAUCUUCAUUUUCUCCAUGCUUGUAGCAGUGCUGUCUGUCUGUGAGUGGAGACUUGCUUUGUAUGGAAAACCUGCCCAGGAAGAUCUUAAACCCUAGCCACAGAGAACAGCAUUAGACAGAUAUUUCCAUUACCUCCUCUUCAACCAUAACAACAAUGUUGAAAAUGAAACUUCCUCAAGAAGAGGAAAAGCAGUUCUGCCGUGGGAAGAUCCUUGUCACAACAUAUCCAAAGAAUUCUGUGUGAUACAGUCUUUUCCCUUCCCAAAAAGCAACAUAUGAUGGCUACUGCUGGUAGCACUAGACCAAUCCUCCAGUUGUAGACUGAGUGCCUGUGAGAGAGCUGCCUAAUGUCUGGGUCUGGAGCCUGUUGCUUUGCUGUAGCAUUUACCACUUGUUCUUGUGGCAUUUAUGUGUCAGCAUGCACUGUUAUUAGCCCAUCCACCUAAUACUCUUUAAGGGCCUUAUAAAGCUGCCACUAAAGUCA